AUUGAACGCUGGCGGCAUGCCUUACACAUGCAAGUCGAACGGUAACAGGUUAAGCUGACGAGUGGCGAACGGGUGAGUAAUACAUCGGAACGUGCCCAGACGUGGGGGAUAGCUCGGCGAAAGCCGGAUUAAUACCGCAUAAGCUCUGAGGAGGAAAGCGGGUGACCGUAAGGCCUCGGGCGUUUGGAGCGGCCGAUGGCAGAUUAGGUAGUUGGUGGGGUAAAGGCUUACCAAGCCGACGAUCUGUAGCUGGUCUGAGAGGACGACCAGCCACACUGGGACUGAGACACGGCCCAGACUCCUACGGGAGGCAGCAGUGGGGAAUUUUGGACAAUGGGCGAAAGCCUGAUCCAGCAACGCCGCGUGCAGGAUGAAGGCCUUCGGGUUGUAAACUGCUUUUGUACGGAACGAAAAGGCGCCUACUAAUACUGGGUGUUGAUGACGGUACCAUAAGAAUAAGCACCGGCUAACUACGUGCCAGCAGCCGCCGUAACAC
rnacentral:rRNA from 1 species